rnacentral:tRNA from 1 species
CAUUAAAAAACUUUAAGUAAGUAUUGGUCUCUUAAAUCAAUUAUAAUAAAGUAACGUUUAUUUUUAAUGA